UAAUAGGACACCUUUGGAAGUUCAUAUUCAUCCGGCCCCAUGACAAGUUUGUAAUGAGGUGGGUUAAGUUGAACUUCAACUAUUUGCGGAUUCGACGUGGGUUGAGGCUUCUCAGGGCACUUUACGAGAUACUAGUAGAAAAAGUCGUCUAUCUGGGCGAUCCGUGAAAGCCGGAAGUUGGCUAUCGAGUGCCUCCAUCCCAGCGAAAAUUACCCAAGCAUCCUCCUGUGGCUAGCCCUUUUAAGUUAAUAAGGGAAAAAUUUAUUUCUGGUUCGCCUUUCUUGUCUAACGGCACACUUACGAUUAAGACAACGAAAAAGGUAAUCUUGGUGCGAAGUCACUUCAAGAUAUGGAAGAACUUCUACAAGUGAAGGUAUAUUAGCGGACACGGGAGCCAGCUGAGAAGUUUUACGUAAUUUCUCCAAACUGGAUUCUCCUAAUCGUUCACGAGUUUAAGAUACUAAGGACUGAAGAACCGUCGACGAAAGCCAUAACCGGAACUUUUCAUUAAAUUCUAGAAGUUGAGAAUCGGAAAUUCCCAACUGCUGCCAAACAUCACGACCUUUUAUUUUGGCUGGCGAUUUGGUGCUGGUAUUUUCGUCUACUCCGCUGGCUCCAGUAGUUGGCACUGCACUCCACAUAAAGGCAAGAUUUUUGUUUUAUUUUUUAACCUUUUUCUUUUUUCCUUUACGAUUUUUCAGAUUACCUGUAAACGAAAGCUGGUAAGAAUAUUUUUUCAGUAGUGGAGAAAAAUCCGCUAUUCCUGAUGCAGAUGGUGAAUAAUGCCACGAAGAUGCUGUUGUGCUCAUACCAGUGGCAUCCUGACCUUGGCCUAAACAGAAGUGUGAAUCCAAGUGGUAGAAAACCAUUUAAGAAAUUUACCUCUACUUGUUUGAAGCUCUUCCCCUUCAACACUUCUGCACAUUUUCAUAAAUGAAUCUUCUUCAUAGAGUUCAUCUUCUAGAUCCCAGUUUUGUGAAGUAUACAAAACAGAGCUACUGCUUCCUUUUUGAAAUUGCAAUGAAGAAUUGCCAGCAGACUG